GAGAGAUGGCUCAGUGGUUAAGAGCACUGACUGCUCUUCCAGAGGUCCUGAGUUCAAUUCCCAGCA
rnacentral:tRNA from 12 species